AAACCCUGAUCCAGCAAUGCCGCGUGUGUGAAGAAGGCCUUCAGGUUGUAAAAGCACUUUGUCCGGAAAGAAAACUUCUGCCCUAAUACGGUGGGAGGAUGACGGUACCGGAAGAAUAAGCACCGGCUAACUACGUGCCAGCAGCCGCGGUAAUACGUAGGGUGCGAGCGUUAAUCGGAAUUACUGGGCGUAAAGCGUGCGCAGGCGGUUCGUUAAGACAGAUGUGAAAUCCCCGGGCUUAACCUGGGAACUGCAUUUGUGACUGGCGAGCUAGAGUAUGGCAGAGGGGGGUAGAAUUCCACGUGUAGCAGUGAAAUGCGUAGAGAUGUGGAGGAAUACCGAUGGCGAAGGCAGCCCCCUGGGCCAAUACUGACGCUCAUGCACGAAAGCGUGGGGAGCAAACAGGAUUAGAUACCCUGGUAGUCCACGCCCUAAACGAUGUCAACUAGUUGUUGGGGAUUCAUUUCCUUAGUAACGUAGCUAACGCGUGAAGUUGACCGCCUGGGGAGUACGGUCGCAAGAUUAAAACUCAAAGGAAUUGACGGGGACCCGCACAAGCGGUGGAUGAUGUGGAUUAAUUCGAUGCAACGCGAAAAACCUUACCUACCCUUGACAUGGUCGGAACCCUGCUGAAAGGUGGGGGUGCUCGAAAGAGAACCGAUACACAGGUGCUGCAUGGCUGUC
rnacentral:rRNA from 1 species